rnacentral:tRNA from 3 species
GCCUGAUUGGUGGAAUGGUAGACACGGCGCACUUAAAAUGCGUUGCCCUUGGCGUGCGGGUUCGAGUCCCGCAUCAGGCA